AGGAGGGGGCUCUGGAAGCUUCUGUCUGGUUUUCUGGACUUCACCCCAUUGCUGAUUCUGCUUUCUGUCCUUUCACUGCAAUAAACUACAACCGUGAGUGUAACGACUUCUGAAUCCUACAGAAAGGAACGCCUGCCCAAGAGCUGGAUCAGACUGCACGCACAGACACCAACAGACAACCACACAGACGUGUGAACACAUCUCCCAACGUGAGCAACCGCAGCAUAAUGGGACUCAUCCCAUCCAAAUACCCAUUUCAUCUAAAGUAUAAAAAUAAUAAAAAGAGCUGCUUGGAAAUA